GGGCGAUUAGCUCAGCUGGUAGAGCACUGUGUUCACAUCGCAGGGGUCACUGGUUCAAGUCCAGUAUCGCCCACCA
rnacentral:tRNA from 4 species